GAGACUAGUCUUAUAACCUCUGUUCUUCCUAAACCUGGGUUUGUUCUUGGAAUGAGCUUUCAUGCACCUCCCAGGUGUAAACAGGUGACCCGUCCAGCAGGUCCAAUUAUUCACGGGUCUCAAGGGGACCUUCUCCUAAGAACCAAAUGGGGGGUAGAGAGAGACGAGGGUCUUGUGCGAAUAACGACACGGAAACGUUCUGAAUUGCAUCAGGACCCCACCAUAUUGAGAAAGGCCCAAUGCGUAAAUGCACAAGCAAAAGGGGAAGUGCCUUUCAGAAGGAUGUGAAAGAACCUAGAGGGGAAACCUCCACUCAACUCCCGAUUCAGCGUGCACCCAAGAAUCACGAAUAGAACACAACACCUUGAUGUAACAACACGAGGUAUUUUACUGGUGGAGCUCCGGGUCGAAACAUAUCUCACACAGGAGACAGUGGAUUCGACCACGAGGCUUGGAAGCUAGGGGUUUUUAUAGAAAAGGAGUGGGGCUGGGGAAGGAAUUGGCACGGUUUCACAUGAUUGGUCCAUUUAAACAUCAGCAGCCUGUAAGAUUUAACUUAGGUCAGAGGGGUGGGAGAUAGGGAAGCAUGGGCCUGCCUGGGCAUGUCCUGGUCUGUUCUACUAUGUUCUCAGCCCCAGGUUUCAAAGCUCACAAACAACUCUUUGGACUAUUUGACAUACAUUACAUGAAUCACAGGUCUCAAGUUUUAUUUCCUUUCAGAAGGAUGGGGCAUAGAAUUGCUCAAGCAAAAAGGGAAGUACUUCUCAGCAGGAGGGAUGGGGCAAUAGAAUUGCACAUUCUUUAGGCAGUUACACAGGAAGCAGGAACUUGGCAGUAUCAGGGUAUCUUGAGGUCAGGACAUCUGGCGCUGACUUAGGGCUGUAACAAUCUGUGGUUGUUCUCUGAGCGGUGUGUCGGUGGCCUGCUUUUAACCCCCUUUUCUUCUCGGGGGGAGAGGCCCAAUUCAGAGAUCAAGAGUUGUCUUAAUAGCUCCCAACAAACAGGGGUGAGUUUUCUCCACAUCACACAUUGCUGCUUACUUGUGUCGCUAAGAAAUGUGUCCAGGCAUGGUGCCCUGUGACUGUGUACAGUCCUGUGAACUUUGCUCAUGUGACCUUGCUUAACCCAAGUGUCUGAUCUUUGAAUAAAGGUGGCUAUUGUCUAAGACAUCAGUCUGCCUCAUUUUAUGCUCUGCUCUCCAUCUAUGGUAACAAGUUCCACCUCAAUGGGGACCCGAAAUCUACUACAGCCUAGGAGAGUGAGGACCUACAGAAGCCCUGAGUGAGAAUAAUGGGGUCGAAAUCAGGGCAGGCUUUGCCUUACCUCAAGCUGGUGCAUCAUUUCUUCAAGGAGGACCAAAACUGCCAGACUAGAAACUGUUAGAUCCUUAUGCUGAUUUCAGUUUGUUUUCUACUAGGGAUACAAUUUUUACCAUCUUUUGUCAAAGCUAACUCUUUUCGCAAAGUAGAUAGCUAAUGUUGUAAUGAGGUGAAAUGAUAAUAUAAAUCAUAGCAGUUUUCAGAGUCCAUGUGUAUGUAGUGAAUAAAACUUCCAAAAACUUUAUGGAAAUCCACGCUGUUAUCUUUAUAACAUUGAAACAUUUUGACUUCCUGUUGAGUAGCUAACAGGAAAGACUUUAUCUUCAUAAAUACAGGACAGAUGGCAAAUUUGGACACAUUUACAGGAUGACAUGUCAUGCAAUAUUAAAAUGAAAAGUGACUUUGUGUGCUGGUAUAAGAAGAUCUUGAAGAUAGAGAUGACAGACCACCUGGACAAUGCUUCCUGAUCGUUUUUGUUAAAGAUGCUUGUAAAUCUUAUCUCAUCUAGAGCAAGUGACCGAGGUCAGUUCCCAGUAAGCUGCCACCUUUUCCUCAGCUACCACUUCAGAAUUCAAGGGGUGUCCUCGGUGUUCUGUAUGACCCAAGGAAUCCAUUGAGCACCUAUGGCAAGAUCAAGAUGCCUUAAACACAGGACCUCCUCCUGUCAUCGCGAGCUGACCCAGAAGUCGCAGCCAGCACAGACCCACUGCGGCCUGGGAAAGAUGCAGCUUUCACAGUACUCUUUCACGUCUGGGAUGUCUUUGGCAUCUUCAUCUGCAUACCUUCUUUUGCUGCAGGAACACUCUGCUUGGACUGUCACCCUGAAUCGGGAGGCUCCUGGCACUUUGCCCUUCUGCUUGUUGACAUCCCCUGAAGGAGGAGUUCUCAGGACACAUCAGGUGAAUUCUAGCCAUAACAUCAGGCUCCAAAGAGUUUUCUAGCUAAUAAUGUCCACUAUUGAAGACGUUUCGUUCUUGUCUAUUUGCUGGAUGCCUGGGUUAGCAGAAGCUUGUCUAAGGAGUCACUGCCUGUGUUGAAGUGGGCUCUGCAGUGAAAUAGCUGUUGGGAAGUUACCCAAGCUCCUGUAAGUAACCUCACACUGGACUCCUUAGCAACCCCGAAGGAAGCUCAGUAGAUCCUCAAGUUGAAUGUCUGCACAGUUGGUACUUCAGUCUGCCAUUAAGUUCUAUUUCUGGUGGGUGUGUACGUGUGUGCGUAUGUGUGUGUGUGUGUGUGUGUGUGUGUGUGUGUGUGUGUGUGUUACAAAUCUGUUGUUCUUCAGGGAUAACUUCCCCCUUUUGUGUCUCAGGGUGCUCAGAUGGGAGUUCCCUAAUCCUUCCCUCUUCUUACACUUAGCUGUCGGGGGUCAUGGCCUCAGCCAUGGCCUUGUGGAUAUUUUCUAGCUUACAUAAACAAUCCUGAGAGAACAUUCGUGGUCAUAACAGUAAGAAAGUUUAUGGGAAAAGAGGACACUGUGACUGUUGGUUCCAGGAGCUGAAGAUUGCCACCUAACCUUCAGAGAGCACCCAGUCUCUCCCACUCCCCACCCCCCAUCCCUUGGAGCCUCUUCUUGCUUUUGCUUAUGCUUAUAUUGCCACUCCUGAAUAAAGUUUUCAGAGCUUGAUCAG